GUGAAUCAUCGAGUCUUUGAACGCACCUUGCGCUCCUUGGUAUUCCGAGGAGCAUGCCUGUUUGAGUGUCAUUAAAUUAUCAACUACUACUUCAUUUUUUGUUUAAAUGUUGAAGUAGCUUGGAAUUGGGAGCUUUGUGGGCCUCAUCGUCUGCUCUCCUUAAAUGUAUUAGCUGGAAUGCCCCUGCAGUCCAUCUGUUAGUGUGAUAAUUAUCUACGCUAUGAAGAUGAGACAGCCUUUGAGUGGGACUCUGCUUCUAAACUGGUUGGGCAUUAAAACCCUGACUUUUAAACGAUCAUUUUGACCUCAAAUCAGGUAGGACUACCCGCUGAACUUAAGCAUAUCAAUAAGCGGAGG
rnacentral:rRNA from 1 species